GCAUAACGCGAAGAACCUUACCAGGCCUUGACAUGCAGAGAACUUUCCAGAGAUGGAUUGGUGCCUUCGGGAACUCUGACACAGGUGCUGCAUGGCUGUCGUCAGCUCGUGUCGUGAGAUGUUGGGUUAAGUCCGUAACGAGCGCAACCUUGUCCUUAGUUGCCAGCAUGUUAUGGUGGGCACUCUAAGGAGACUGCCGGUGACAAACCGGAGGAAGGUGGGGAUGGACGUCAAGGUCAUCAUGGCCCUUACGGCCUGGGCUACACACGUGCUACAAUGGUCGGUACAGAGGGUUGCCAAGCCGCGAGGUGGAGCUAAUCUCACAAAACCGAUCGUAGUCCGGAUCGCAGUCUGCAACUCGACUGCGUGAAGUCGGGAAUCGCUAGUAAUCGCGAAUCAGAAUGUCGCGGUGAAUACGUUCCCCGGGUCUUGUACACACCGAGUCGUGGGGGAGGGCAAGGGGCACACAGGGGGGGGAUA
rnacentral:rRNA from 1 species